AGCAGCCGCGGUAAUUCCAGCUCCAAUAGCGUAUAUUAAAGUUGUUGCAGUUAAAAAGCUCGUAGUUGAAUUUUUGAUUCUGCCAAUUGGUCCAUCUUUUAGAUGAGUACUGGUUGUGUGGGGUCUAUCCGCCUGGUGAUACGUAAUGUCCUUUAUUGGAUGUUGCGGGUAGUCAGGACCUUUACCUUGAAAAAAUUAGAGUGUUUAAAGCAGGCUUAUGCCGGAAUACAUUAGCAUGGAAUAAUAGAAUAGGACGAAGUUGUUUUAUUUUGUUGGUUUCUAGGACAACCGUAAUGAUUAAUAGGGAUAGUUGGGGGCAUUAGUAUUCAAUUGUCAGAGGUGAAAUUCUUGGAUUUAUUGAAGACUAACUACUGCGAAAGCAUUUGCCAAGGAUGUUUUCAUUAAUCAAGAACGAAAGUUAGGGGAUCGAAGACGAUCAGAUACCGUCGUAGUCUUAACCAUAAACUAUGCCGACUAGGGAUCGGGCGAUGUUGUUUCCAUGACUCGCUCGGCACCUUAUG
rnacentral:rRNA from 2 species